AGAGUUUGAUCCUGGCUCAGGAUGAACGCUGGCGGCGUGCCUAAUACAUGCAAGUCGAGCGCGGGAAUGAGGAGCUUGCUCCUCGGCCCCGAGCGGCGGACGGGUGAGUAACACGUAGGCAACCUACCCAUCAGACCGGGAUAACCGCGGGAAACCGUGGCUAAUACCGGAUGAACCUUCCGGACAUAAGUCCUGAAGUUGAAAGGCGCUUUUGGUGCCGUUGAUGGAUGGGCCUGCGGCGCAUUAGCUGGUUGGUGGGGUAACGGCUCACCAAGGCGACGAUGCGUAGCCGACCUGAGAGGGUGAUCGGCCACACUGGGACUGAGACACGGCCCAGACUCCUACGGGAGGCAGCAGUAGGGAAUCUUCCGCAAUGGACGCAAGUCUGACGGAGCAACGCCGCGUGAGUGAAGAAGGGUUUCGGCUCGUAAAACUCUGUUGUUAAGGAAGAAUGUCAGUGAGAGUAACUGCUCAUUGAGUGACGGUACUUAACCAGAAAGCCACGGCUAACUACGUGCCAGCAGCCGCGGUAAUACGUAGGUGGCAAGCGUUAUCCGGAAUUAUUGGGCGUAAAGCGCGCGUAGGCGGUUUCUUAANUCUGAUGUGAAAGCCCCGGCUCAACCGGGGAGGGUCAUUGGAACUGGGGACUUGAUUGCAGAAGAGAGAGUGAAUUCAUGUGUACCGUGAAUGCGCA
rnacentral:rRNA from 1 species